rnacentral:rRNA from 1 species
GAUGAACGCUGGCGGCGUGCUUAACACAUGCAAGUCGAACGGACUUUAUAUGAAGCCUAGCGAUUAUAAAGUUAGUGGCGGACAGGUGAGUAACGCGUGAAUAACCUGCCCUGUACCGGGGGACAACAGUUGGAAACGGCUGCUAAUACCGCAUAAGCGCACGGUUCCGCAUGGAACAGUGUGAAAAACUCCGGUGGUACAGGAUGGAUUCGCGUCUGAUUAGCCAGUUGGUGGGGUAACGGCCUACCAAAGCAACGAUCAGUAGCCGGCCUGAGAGGGUGAACGGCCACAUUGGGACUGAGACACGGCCCAAACUCCUACGGGAGGCAGCAGUGGGGAAUAUUGCACAAUGGGGGAAACCCUGAUGCAGCGACGCCGCGUGAGCGAAGAAGUAUUUCGGUAUGUAAAGCUCUAUCAGCAGGGAAGAAGAAAUGACGGUACCUGACUAAGAAGCACCGGCUAAAUACGUGCCAGCCGCCGCGGUAA